ACCUUCUCCUUUGGCUGAUCACCCAGCAGGCGCUUGCCAACGGCAACACCUACCACCCAAAGUGCUUGAUAUUACAGAGGAAACUGCACUCUCGCUUCCUGGAGGGUGUCUGCCAUGUUGCCACCAUGUGCAUGCCGACUGGGUAUCCACCUGUGAUGUCAGUUCCUUGUCUAUCAUCAGUGGGUACAAGAAGGUCCUGGCUUUGUCUAUGGAGACUGAGUUCACCUUCCCCCGCCAUGAGAAGGUCAAGGUCUUCUUUGUUGAUCCGGCUGCAUUGGUGGUUGCUUCCCCAGCCGAGGUUGAAGCAAAGGAAGGGCUGGAGGAGUUGAAUAAGGAUGUGGGAUUUGGUCUUUUUGACUGA
rnacentral:lncRNA from 1 species